ACUAGAUUGUCGGUAAUCUAGUUUCCAGAACUGGUGACCUAGAGAUCUUUGUGAAAAUCAUCAGCACCAAGUCAGUCAUCAAAAAGAUCAUUCUCUGACAGAAGAAAAAGCCCUUCUUUUCCAGGUUAGGAGGGGCGCCCAGAAGAGGAAGACAAGGAGAUGAAUGGAAUGGGAUAGAGUCUGCUCCCUUCAUAGUCUAUGGCUCUGGUUUCAAACUGUGAUGAAGAGAAGGUCUAACCAUGAACCCGAAGGGCAUGGAGAGGAAGCCCUCCGCAUCCCACAACAGACUGAGAGACCACGUGUAGAAUCAGCCCUGUGCCCAGCAACAUUCCCAGGGCAGCAGAAGGAGCUUGGUGAGGAAGCAAGAGAAAAACGAAGUGUAUCAUGAGGCACUGGCAUGGAAACUUCUAGAACUGCAAAUCAAACCUCGGACCUGGACAACAGGCAUUUUACCACCUUGUGGGGCAGCUUGACAGCCAGUUGGUUAGCCCCCCCUUAAGUGGCUCUACACCCACAUGUAAAAAAAAAAGAAUACAUGAUCUACUUAAUAUCCUGGGAAUUUAGCACCAG